rnacentral:rRNA from 1 species
GACGAACGCUGGCGGCGUGCUUAACACAUGCAAGUCGAACGGAAAGGCCCUGCUUUUGUGGGGUGCUCGAGUGGCGAACGGGUGAGUAACACGUGAGUAACCUGCCCUUGACUUUGGGAUAACUUCAGGAAACUGGGGCUAAUACCGGAUAGGAGCUCCUGCUGCAUGGUGGGGGUUGGAAAGUUUCGGCGGUUGGGGAUGGACUCGCGGCUUAUCAGCUUGUUGGUGGGGGGGUGGCCUACCAAGGCUUUGACGGGUAGCCGGCCUGAGAGGGUGACCGGUCACAUGGGGACUGAGAUACGGGACAGACGACUACGGGAGGCAGCGGUGGGGAAUAUUGCACAAUGGGCGGAAGCCUGAUGCAGCGACGCCGCGUGAGGGAUGGCGGCCGUCGGGUUGUAAACCUCUUUCGCUCAUGGUCAAGCCGCAGCUUUGGGUUGUGGUGAAGGUAGUGGGUAAAGAAGCGCCGGCUAACUACGUG